GCGGACUAUCGAUCUACUGAAGAACAUAUGUGGAACAUAUUGUUUCAUUUUCGCUCGUUUUAAAUAUUACAACAUAAAAAGUACCUGAAUUCCGCGUCUUAGGCUUGCAGCAUGUAAUUGUGCAUUUACUCCAAGAUUUAAUAAAUCUUCAGUAGUCAGUCUAUGUAACAUUCUACCAUCAACUUUACCAUUGUGAAAUGCCUCCUUAUGUUGUGGUAAACCUAUAUCGUCAAGCCAUCGCAGAACUGCAGCAUUAUCCAUCUAUAAUAUAAUAAAUAUUUGUAACGUUUAUAAUUUAUAAUAACUGCUUAAAUUAACAAUAACAAAUAAGUUAGUCAUGUAAUCAAGUUUCACUUAUAGUUACCUUAUCUGAUCCAAGGAAAUCAGCUCCAUCAGAUUUUUCUGACUCUAUUGCAUACAGUAUUUUCUUCUUAUGAAGAACAUUUUUAAUUUCCAAUUCCUUGUCCAUUUGUUGCGGGGAACAUUCGAGUAAUUUUAAACCAGUUGCUCCCCAUCGUCUUAAUUCACUUGUAUAACAUUCCAGUCCUAAAUUUGCAAGCCACUCUCCAAUUUCUUCCAUUGAUAGUUCUGCUAAAGGUUUCUGGGUAAUUGCUUGUACUCGACAAUUCGAGCUUUCGAUAAUAACAUUCUUGUCUUCUUCAGCUAAAGUGAACAUAAAAAGAGAUAACUGAAGAAGAUUAUGUGAUUAUAUUAUUUAACAUUGUAAUACGUGAGUAAAAUACAGAUUAUUUUCUACGGAAGGAAUAAGUAAAAAUUUUCCAUGCAUUAAAAAUAAAACAGGCUUAUGAAAUAAAUUUUAUCAAUUGAUGAAUUACUAGCGCCAAAUCGGUAUUAAGUUAUUGGCCACGACUGCCUGUCACGUAAAAAAAAACUAAUAAAUAAUUGCAUUUUUGAUAAGCAUUUGAUAAUGCAUGCCUAGAGGAAAAUCAAUCGCAACCUAGAGUAGGCGCAGACAGGCAUCUCGCGGAGGCUCCUCUAAUGGCCAAUGGUACCGUUGUGUGUGCUCCAGAAGUUAAACUGGGAACCUUACCGAACACUACGCCUUUCUUUGAAGAACUCAUGGGCCUAGGGAGACUACUAUAUUGGCUGGUAUGCCUUCCAAAUUUCUCUCCCUGCAAUAUAUAAUUAAUGUUUCUUUCCAAAUUCAUUACAGUGACUAUUAAGAACAGCAUUUUAAGAAAUUAUUAUGAAGGAAUAUUGCUUCUUCAAUUUUAAGUAAUAAAUAUAAUAUUGAAGCAACUUAAUACAAUUGCAUGCAUGAAAUAACUGCAUUGUGCUGAAGAAAAUGUUGAGUAAUCAUUGAUAGAACUUACAUUUAAAACAGGGCUUGUACUGCGAAGCGCAAGAUUUUCGUGUUCUAAGCUUGCUUGUCUGAGCUUCAUUUCUGAUAUAGAACUUAGCAAUUCCAAUUUUUGUGUCUCCAGAGCACUUCUUGAAAGCAUUUCCUUUAAAAAUAAAAAUGAUUUAAAUGAAAUAAAAAUGGAAACAGAAUACAUUAAAAUGUAGCUUAUUCAACAGAAAAAUAAAUAACAUUUUGAUUAUUAAACAAUUACCAAAAUUUCAAUACAGCGUUCUCUUUAGAUAAAUUCAAUGUUCGAGAAUGGCGAGGCUGUGGUACAUAGAUAUGUUGUGUUCGUUUUAUUGAAGGAAAGAGUAAAAAGAAUAUCUAAAAUUUAUUUUCUUCACUUAAACUUCAGAUAAAACAAAAAUGCAACAAACAGCACUAAGAAUAUCAAAGAAUUAAUAUUAUAAAAGACAAGUCUAAUUCAUAUUUAAAAAGUACCAUAAUAAUAAAAAUAAGUGAAUAGAAUUACUUUCUGUAAUGCCUCCUCCAUUCUUCUAAGAGAAUCUUUCUUUUCUCUAAGCAUACUUUCCAAUUCUUGAAUUUUAUUGGAUUGUGCUUCCACCUGUUCUGAUAAAACUGAUACUUCCAUGCGUAAAGCUCCACGUUCAUCUUCUAAUUUCCUUAAACGCUCCUAUGAUAUUUAAAUUAAUACCAAAUAAAUGCUAUGAAAAUAAUGUAUUAUACUAUACCCUAAUUGUCACAACUGUUUACCUCAAAUAAUGCAAAACUUAAAAUGUAAUUUAUAUUAAAUAAUGUUAAUCACUUUAUGCAUUAUAAAUUUCAUUAUAGAUAUAUAUUCCUGAAUUCCAUACUUUUAAUAUUUAAUAUUUAGUAUAAUUGUAUAAUAAUAUUAAUUUAAUAUUUUUAAGUCACAUUACCAUUUUCUCAUUGUAACAUUUAAAAGUAAAUCAUACUGUUUUAUAAAGUAUUUUUGUUAUGUACACUAUCAAAUCUGACACGUUAUGAAUGUGUGUAUACCUCAGUUUUUGCUAGACAUUCCUCCCACUUUCGAGAAAUUUGAAAGUACUGUAGUGAACAACAGUUAGAAGAUUCUUUCCUUCUUAAAAAAAGAUCUGUUUGCGAUCUAAUUCUUUGUUCGCAAUCUAAUCUGUUUCGGAGUCGUCGUUUGCUUCCUGGCUCGAAAGAUUGAUUGCUUCGAUUUCCUUUGUGCUCUUUAGUAUUUUCUUGACAACUAUGUUUCUUUGCACAUAGGCUAUUCGAUUAUAUGAGAAUAUCAAUAAUAUUGAAUAUAAAAACAACAGAAAAAGAACAAAGGAUAAAAAAACCUCAUAUUAUAAACUGCAGAACAAAAAGGUGAAAAAGUCCCCAUGUGAGUUAAACUUGUAGGCGAACAGAGAUUGGGCACACUUCCUCUAAGACCAAUCAUUUUAGUAUAACCUAAUGGACAAUUCUAAGAAACAGAAUUUAAUUCUCUUAUACAUUAUUCACAUAAUGUUAUCAACAAUUCAUAUUUCAAUGUAGUGACUAUAUACAUUGCAAUUUCAACUAUUUUUUAAAGAAGUAUAAAAAUUAAAUAUAUUCUUUAUUGUUGAUCAUAAAAAAAGACUUAUAAUUUAUUCAAUAUAAAUAUUUUGAGUAACAUAUAGUUGGAGUUAAUAUAUAAAAGAUGUUUAAUCAAUCAAAAUAUGUUCUAUUUGAUUGAAUAAACUUCUGUCAAAAUCUUUGAUAAUGAAACUAUUUAAGAGGUUAUAUAAAAAACAAAGAAAUAACAAUAACAGGAGCACAAAUAUUUAUGAAUAAGAAAAAUCCGAUAUUUCAUAUUAUGUAACUUCAUAACAAUACUUUUCUUACUUCCUCUAAUAAACAAAGGCAUUUGACUAAAUCAAA